CGUACAGGCGGCUGUGUAAGUCAGAUGUGUAAUCCCUGGGCUUAACCCAGGACUUGCAUUUGAUACUGCAUGGGCUUGAGAUCAGGAGAGGAGAGUGGAAUAUGUGGUGUAGCGGUGAAAUGCGUAGAGAUCACAUAGAACACCGGUGGCGAAGGCGGCUCUCUGGCCUGAUUCUGACGCUGACGCGCGAAAGCUAGGGUAGCGAACG
rnacentral:rRNA from 1 species